AUUGAACGCUGGCGGCAGGCCUAACACAUGCAAGUCGAACGAGUGGCGGACGGGUGAGUAAUGCCUGGGAAACUGCCUUAUGGUGGGGGAUAACUACUGGAAACUGUAGCUAAUACCGCAUACCAUCGGAUGUGCCCAGAUCGGAUUAGCUAGUAGGUGGGGUAAAGGCUCACCUAGGCGACGAUCCCUAGCUGGUCUGAGAGGAUGAUCAGCCACACUGGAACUGAGACACGGUCCAGACUCCUACGGGAGGCAGCAGUGGGGAAUAUUGCACAAUGGGCGCAAGCCUGAUGCAGCCAUGCCGCGUGUAUGAAGAAGGCCUUCGGGUUGUAAAGUACUUUCAGCGGGGAGGCGGUACCCGAAGAAGAAGCACCGGCUAACUCCGUGCCAGCAGCCGCGGUAAUAC
rnacentral:rRNA from 1 species